GUGGGUUUCCUUGGAUGUUUGUAGAUUGUUUUGGCUGGAAGGGAAUCUUAUCAUCACCGAUUCUGACCCUUUGCAUAACCCUUUCAUGUAGGGAUUGUGGCAUCGCGCCCAUGACUUGGGCUGAGCCUGAAAAAAAACCUCCAGAAGGGCUUUCAAUCCAGCUGUGAUGCUGAGGGUUCCAGCAAAUAGCAAGGAACGCUUUGCCUCCCCAGGAAGUAGUGAAUGAGGACGGGGAAAGGUUUGCUGGCACACAGAGGAAAAUCACACCGUUUCAGGCAAGGCAGAACAAACAAUGGUUCUCACCGAUGCUGUGUGCUGUUUGGAAGUGAACGUGAUCACGGAGGUAUUCAUUUCCUACCUGUGAGUUUUGGCUGGGGUGCUUCCUGCAGGCAGGCAGGACACGCGCUGCCUUGGCUCAGGCACUGCUCUGAGGUUGUGCUCUGCUUGCUGCAAGCGUGGAGAUUGUGCGAGUUGGAUGCUUUCCUGCUGGGUUCGGGUAUCAGAGCCUCCCUAAUGGGAUACCUGAAGGUGUAGACAGAGGGAGGGGCAGGAACAACCUCCCAGAUAAACUCCAUUGUGUGGGAGGGUGGAGGCUCCGAAUGGCCUCAGGAAGGAGUCAGGUGAUGGCAUGUUAUCUUGGAGCGGCUUUCUCCCCGUCUCAUGAAAAUGAGAAGAGACCCUUUUAACUUUCCUAGUGAGGGAAGGGCUGUGCUGGAGCCUUACUACACACUGGAGAAACCACACAGGGCUGAGCUGUUUUGAACGCCCCG
rnacentral:lncRNA from 1 species